CAUUAUGAAGCUAUCUCAGCAUUAACCUUUUAAGUUAAAGACUUGGGAAUUGAUUUCCCCAUAAUGA
ensembl:Mt_tRNA